UAAUUAAGAGGUGAUGACUAAUCCACUUCACUACCAUUGUCAACUUUCUCCUGAUAUGAACUGAAGCCUCAUCUCAUGUGCCCGCUCAUCCACUGGCACAUUGCAUGUUUCCCCUGCAAGCACUUUUUUUGUCUUCCCAGUCGAAUCCUGUCCUGCAGUGAUCAAGUCUCUGAACACCUCAAUUCACACCUCAUACUCUCAUUCAAUCACUGCUGUGAUCCCUUUCCAACACUGUAAUUAUGGAACAGCUACGAUGCUUUCCUGCAAGGCUUGGCGAAGACCAACAACGGAGAGGAGGGCUGGCAUCGAACAUGUUUGGUGACUCUUGGCACUACCCACGUCACCAUUUGGAAGUUCGUCAAGUUAUUGCAAUGACAGCAGCAAAGUGGUGAAAUGAGAAUGGAGCAGCAACUUACUGCCGUUUCUCCGCCAUGGCAAAAACCCUGCUAUGGCAAGCAACAGAAUGAUCUUAAGUCACUGGUUCAGAAGUACAACACACCUGAACAGCUGGAGACUCACCUGAAGAGCGUUGCCUACACUUUCAAGUUGCAGUGGAGAAUACUCCAAAAUCCAAGUUGCACCUAUCCUACUUGGACAUAUCUUCAAGAAACAUUGAUUUCAACCCUUUCAAUGGUCCUCAUGAGACCAGAAUAUAAAGCACAUUCUUGGAAGAUUUGUUCCUGAACUUGUUUUUAUGGUGCUGCAUUGUCAUGUAGCUUACUUUUAUUUGUGUGUAAAUG